rnacentral:rRNA from 1 species
GAGUUUGAUCAUGGCUCAGGAUGAACGCUGGCGGCGUGCUUAACACAUGCAAGUCGAACGAACCUUCGGGUUAGUGGCGGACGGGUGAGUAACGCGUGGGAAUCUGCCCUCAGGAGGGGGAUAACGGUUGGAAACGACCGCUAAUACCCCAUAUGCCGAGAGGUGAAAUGAAUUUCGCCUGAGGAUGAGCCCGCGUCUGAUUAGCUUGUUGGUGAGGUAAUGGCUCACCAAGGCUUCGAUCAGUAGCUGGUCUGAGAGGAUGAUCAGCCACACUGGGACUGAGACACGGCCCAGACUCCUACGGGAGGCAGCAGUGGGGAAUUUUCCGCAAUGGGCGAAAGCCUGACGGAGCAACGCCGCGUGAGGGACGAAGGCCUCUGGGCUGUAAACCUCUUUUCUCAAGGAAGAAGAUAUGACGGUACUUGAGGAAUAAGCCACGGCUAAUUCCGUGCCAGCAGCCGCGGUAAUACGGGAGUGGCAAGCGUUAUCCGGAAUUAUUGGGCGUAAAGCGUCCGCAGGCGGCCUUUCAAGUCUGCUGUUAAAGCGUGGAGCUUAACUCCAUCAUGGCAGUGGAAACUGAUAGGCUUGAGUAUGGUAGGGGCAGAGGGAAUUCCCGGUGUAGCGGUGAAAUGCGUAGAUAUCGGGAAGAACACCAGUGGCGAAGGCGCUCUGCUAGGCCAUAACUGACGCUCAUGGACGAAAGCCAGGGGAGCGAAAGGGAUUAGAUACCCCUGUAGUCCCGGCCGUAAACGAUGAACACUAGGUGUCGGGGGAAUCGACCCCUUCGGUGUCGUAGCUAACGCGUUAAGUGUUCCGCCUGGGGAGUACGCACGCAAGUGUGAAACUCAAAGGAAUUGACGGGGGCCCGCACAAGCGGUGGAGUAUGUGGUUUAAUUCGAUGCAACGCGAAGAACCUUACCAGGGCUUGACAUCCUGCGAACCUCUAAGAAAUUAGAGGGUGCCUUCGGGAACGCAGUGACAGGUGGUGCAUGGCUGUCGUCAGCUCGUGUCGUGAGAUGUUGGGUUAAGUCCCGCAACGAGCGCAACCCACGUUUUUAGUUGCCAGCAUUUAGUUGGGCACUCUAGAAAGACCGCCGGUGAUAAACCGGAGGAAGGUGUGGAUGACGUCAAGUCAUCAUGCCCCUUACGUCCUGGGCUACACACGUGCUACAAUGGCUAAGACAAAGAGUCGCGAAUUCGCGAGAAUCAGCUAAUCUCAUAAACUUAGUCUAAGUUCAGAUUGUAGGCUGCAACUCGCCUACAUGAAGUUGGAAUCGCUAGUAAUCGCUGGUCAGCCAUACAGCGGUGAAUCCGUUCCCGGGCCUUGUACACACCGCCCGUCACACCAUGGGAGCUGGUCAUGCCCGAAACCGUUUGCUUAACCUUUUGGAGAGCGACGUCUAAGGUAGGGCUAGUGACUGGGGUGAAGUCGUAACAAGGUAACC